rnacentral:lncRNA from 1 species
UUCUCUCUCUAUCUCUCUCUCCUCUCUCUUUCUUUCUCAUACUUCCCAUCCCAACUCUACCCACAUACAGCCGCCAACAAUUCUUUGUUCUUACUCAGUAUUACCAAAAUCCUACUCAAGCCCCCUUACUCUCAUUUCUUUUGUUUAUUCUUCUUAUAUUUUCUUCUUUUAAUUGAUUGGCAUACAAAAUUUUCUCUCAAUCCUCAGAUUCAGUAGAUCCGAAAACUCUUUCCCACAUUUUUCUAGUUUUCUGUUCUUCUCCCUGACCACACCGUAAAAAUCAGCCUCUCCUUCCUUUUAUUUACAAAAACCCGGUUUUGGCCGGUUCCGGGUUUUCCCGGUUCAACCGUGGAUUUCACCGGGUUUUUGCUGUUCAACCGGGUUUUUGCAUCUUACGGGUUUAUGUGUUGAACCAGACCGGACCCCUCGCCGGUUCCCGGUUAAACCGGUUCGACCGGCCGGUCCGGUCCGGUUUUCAAAACAUUGGCUGCAGGAGCCCCAGGUGGAGGUCAGACUAUAAUAGACAUAAAGCUGGAAAACCUGGGCUUCUCC